GUUAGAGGGAGAGGAGUGCAUUUGCUGCGGUAAAUAUAUGGUCCCACAGUGCUGCCUGCUUUCUUCCACUUUAGGUGGUUGGUGGCUGACUUCACUGUGGAUGCUUCCUCUGUCAUUAAGGGAGGCCACACUUGAUCAUAGAUUGGAACUUGCUUUGUGGAUUUGCCGUCAUCGGAAAAUCAUGACGUAUCACAGACAGAUGACCUGAGGUUGGACUUGGCUCUCUUGUUCUUCAAUGCAGAGAUAGUCAAAAAGAGCCAUACACAUCUGAUGCAUAUUCUAGCAGCACCGGGGAAGAUAAUAGAAGAUAAGAAACCUGCUAGAUGCUUGGAGGUCAAAUCUCCAUUUCCUCCAGCUCCUUUUGGACCUUGUCCCUCCCGCAGACAACCGGUAUGAAUCCCUCUCUCUUCAUUCCCAGGUGUAGGGAGGUAAGACAACAAUUACAAACCACACAUUUCUACCCUCUAGCAGAAUAUGAUCAAUAGUAAGCUAAAUCCUAUGGUUUAGUUUUAAACUUCAAGAUCUGAUUGCUUUGGGGGCUUCAUUCUUGAUAUUUUGAAUUUAUUAUAUAUAACUAUGUAUAUAUGCAUGCAUACAUAUCUAUUUAAGUCCAUAUCUCCCCUUAAGUACUUUAGUGAAUCUUAUAAUCCCGUGAUAAAGCCCAAGCUCUUAGCAUGCCCGGGAUCUCCUACCCUCAUUCUUUGUCUGGUUGACCCUUCUUCUCUGUAUGGGUUCAGCUCAGCAUACAUCAU